GGGAACCAUGGCAGCGGCAGCGGACAGAGACAGAGUCCGGAGCAGCGCUGCUCUCCCCCUGGGGACAGAACCGGUUCUCUGCGCGGGAUCUGGAACUUCUGUCCCCGCGGAGCCAGACGCCCCGGUGCCGAUGAACCUGUUCGCGACCUGGGAGAUGGAGCGGUGCUCCCCGAGCUGCGUGCCCAGGCUGUGCAGUCUGACGGUGACCCGGCUGAUGGUGUUGAAGGAGUUGGACAGAGAGCUGAGCUCCGUUAUCAUCGCUGUGAAGAUCCAGGGCUCGAAGCGGACUCUGAGAUCCGGGGAAUAUCUGCUGCUUCCGGCUGACGGCCUGAUGGAGGCGGAGCUGGAGCUCACCUUCACACUGCAGUAUCCUCACUUCCUGAAGCGCGAUGUGAACCGCCUUCAUGUGAUGCUGCAGAGGAGGAAGAGGUACAAGAACCGCACCAUGCUGGGCUACAAGACGCUGGCCGUGGGCGUCAUCAACAUGUCUGAGGUGAUGCAGCAUCCGAUGGACGGCGCCCACAUCCUCGGUCUCCACGGGGACCUGAAGGACGCUCCAAUGCGGGCGGCGCUCAGCGUGCACGCUCUCUGCAGCCAGCCAAUCCAACGCGAGUACUUUUGCGGUCACCGCGGCAACAAGGGCAAGGCCUCAGAUCGCUCUCCAGACAUGGAGAACUACUCGGAGGACGAUGAAGACACCUUCUCCUCUGAACAGGAAGGAAGUGACGACGCAGUCCCGCCUCAGGACCUGUAUGACGAUGAGGAGGAUUUCCAGGGAAAGUCGAAAAAGUCCUGCAGGAAAAUGAUCAGAACAACCUCCCUGACUCAGCAAUCGAUCUUCAAACAGAAGUUUGUGUCUCUGCUGAGGAGAUUCAAAGCCACCGACGAGGUUCUGGAUUCUGACCCCGUUGGGGGGGGUCCAGAGGCAGAGGAGGACCUGGACCAGCUGUACGACAGUCUGCAGGUUUACGACCCGAGUGACAGCGGGCCGGAGCUGGACGACAGCGACACCAUCCUGAGCUCGCCCAAACCCAAACUCAGGCCUUUCUUUGACGGAGUUCCUCAUUCGAGCUCUCAGAGUGAGAUCCAGACGCAGAAACAACAAACUGAAGUGGAGAUUUCUGCUACUCAGGGUCCCCGAUUACCACCUGAGAUAAGAGAAGAGAAGGAGGGCCCCGGGGAAGUUGAGGUUGAGCCCCUAAAACACAUGUCAACAAGUAAGACAGGAAGUCAGCUGUCUCGCCACUCUUGGGGAGCAUCCAUGAGGGACAGACAGAACACCAGCAGCAUGGACAGUGAGACAUCCACAGACUGCAGGAUACCUCCUCCACAGGUUGCCAGGAAGUCGGUCCUGGAUCAGCUGAACCACAUCCUGUUCUCUGAGGACCGGAUCCCUGACUCCAUCAUCCUGAUCAACACCUCGGACUGGCAGGGGCAGUAUCUGUCGGAGCUUCUCUUCGAUCAGCCGAUGGUCUGCACCGUGUCGGCCGCCGACGUUCAAGCCGCCUUCAGCGCCGUCCUCAGCCGGAUCCAGAGAUUCUGUAACUGUAACUCGCAGACACCCCCUACCCUGAAGGUGGCGGUGGCCGGAGACCAGAGCUACCUGAGCACCGUCCUCUGCUGUUUCGUUGAGCAGAUGGCCAGCAAGACGCCUGAUUGGUUGAACUACGUCCGCUUCCUCAUCAUCCCCAUCGGAACCCACCCGCUGGCUAAAUUCCUGGCGUCUCUGGACAGCAGGUUCAGCAGCCUGUUCAUGGACCCGGACUGGAGGGAUCUGUUUGGACGAGUGGAGUCUCCGGCUCUGGAUCCUGUGGGUGUAGCGGGACGAGUCUCUCAGUACCUGAGCGGAGCUGCUGUUUCUCACCUGUGUCCAAUCUCUGAGGCCAUGCUGACCUGCAAGCACAAGAGCCCCGACAACGACUACUGUCAGAAGUUUGUUCCUUUCAUCGGGGUGGUGAAGGUCGGCAUCGUGGAGCAGAACCUCCGCUCCAUCUCCCUUGACUCUGGUGACAUCAUCCUGGGAUCUCCUCCCACCCAAUCAGGAGCUCCGAUCACUCCUCCUCCCUCUCCCUCCACCAGCUGCCUGGGGGAGGUGAAAGGGCUGCAGGUCGACUACUGGAGUCCGGGAGGAGGAGGGGUAGGAGGAGGAGGAGGGGGAGGACGGAGGGAGGUGGGGAUGAAGAACACCCUGAAGAGUAACUUCCGCUGCCUGCAGGUGUCCAGGAUCAGCGGGGGGGGGGAGCUGCUGAGCAUGACGGUGGUGACCAGAGAGAAGAACAAGAAAGGUGUGUGUGUGUGUUUGUGUGUGUGUCAGUCAUGUUCCUCAGCAAGAAGACGAGGGAGAGGGAGGCGGAGUCGAGGAGUCAGCUGAUCGAAGGAAUCAGUCGACUGAUCUGCACCUCCAAACACCAGCACACACUGAGAGUCUCUGUAGACGGAGUUGAAUGGAGCGGCGUCCGGUUCUUCCAGCUCGCCGCUCAGUGGCCGACGCACGUCAAACACUUUCCUGUGGGGGUGUUCGGAUACAGCAAACCCUGACACACACACACACACACACACACCCACCAAACCCCCUUCAGGACCCUGACUCUGUUGCCUGUGAUUGGUCACUUGGUCAUGUUGUUUGUCGAUAAAGCAGACUCAGUCUGUAGGGACUCUCGGGAGUCCCGAUUGGACCAGCGACCCCAACUUCUGACUGGUGGUCAGAGAGGAAGACACCGGACCCCCAACUGUUACAUGUGUGUAAUAUAAUGUAAACACACUCAUAGAGAGUGUAUCUGAACAUGCCACACAUAUUUAUUCUUAUUCUCAUUCAUCAUGACCCGUUUCUCUCACCCUCUGUGGUGGAAAGGGUCAGAAAUAAAGGAUGCUGUUCCUGCUGAUUUCCCUCACAGGACGUCCGUCAGGGUUUCUGUGUGCAUUCGUAGGAUAAGAAUAUUUUAUUUAGUAAUAAAAAUGGUCAAAAUAAAAGUUUAGAAAA